rnacentral:rRNA from 1 species
GACGAACGCUGGCGGCGUGCCUAAUACAUGCAAGUCGAACGAACUCUGGUAUUGAUUGGUGCUUGCAUCAUGAUUUACAUUUGAGUGGGUGGCGAACUGGUGAGUAACACGUGGGAAACCUGCCCAGAAGCGGGGGAUAACACCUGGAAACAGAUGCUAAUACCGCAUAACAACUUGGACCGCAUGGUCCGAGUUUGAAAGAUGGCUUCGGCUAUCACUUUUGGAUGGUCCCGCGGCGUAUUAGCUAGAUGGUGGGGUAACGGCUCACCAUGGCAAUGAUACGUAGCCGACCUGAGAGGGUAAUCGGCCACAUUGGGACUGAGACACGGCCCAAACUCCUACGGGAGGCAGCAGUAGGGAAUCUUCCACAAUGGACGAAAGUCUGAUGGAGCAACGCCGCGUGAGUGAAGAAGGGUUUCGGCUCGUAAAACUCUGUUGUUAAAGAAGAACAUAUCUGAGAGUAACUGUUCAGGUAUUGACGGUAUUUAACCAGAAAGCCACGGCUAACCACGUGCCAGCAGCCGCGGUAAUACGUAGGUGGCAAGCGUUGUCCGGAUUUAUUGGGCGUAAAGCGAGCGCAGGCGGUUUUUUAAGUCUGAUGUGAAAGCCUUUGGCUCAACCGAAGAAGUGCAUCGGAAACUGGGAAACUUGAGUGCAGAAGAGGACAGUGGAACUCCAUGUGCAGCGGUGAAAUGCGUAGAUAUAUGGAAGAACACCAGUGGCGAAGGCGGCUGUCUGGUCUGUAACUGACGCUGAGGCUCGAAAGUAUGGGUAGCAAACAGGAUUAGAUACCCUGGUAGUCCAUACCGUAAACGAUGAAUGCUAAGUGUUGGAGGGUUUCCGCCCUUCAGUGCUGCAGCUAACGCAUUAAGCAUUCCGCCUGGGGAGUACGGCCGCAAGGCUGAAACUCAAAGGAAUUGACGGGGGCCCGCACAAGCGGUGGAGCAUGUGGUUUAAUUCGAAGCUACGCGAAGAACCUUACCAGGUCUUGACAUACUAUGCAAAUCUAAGAGAUUAGACGUUCCCUUCGGGGACAUGGAUACAGGUGGUGCAUGGUUGUCGUCAGCUCGUGUCGUGAGAUGUUGGGUUAAGUCCCGCAGCGAGCGCAACCCUUAUUAUCAGUUGCCAGCAUUAAGUUGGGCACUCUGGUGAGACUGCCGGUGACAAACCGGAGGAAGGUGGGGAUGACGUCAAAUCAUCAUGCCCCUUAUGACCUGGGCUACACACGUGCUACAAUGGAUGGUACAACGAGUUGCGAACUCGCGAGAGUAAGCUAAUCUCUUAAAGCCAUUCUCAGUUCGGAUUGUAGGCUGCAACUCGCCUACAUGAAGUCGGAAUCGCUAGUAAUCGCGGAUCAGCAUGCCGCGGUGAAUACGUUCCCGGGCCUUGUACACACCGCCCGUCACACCAUGAGAGUUUGUAACACCCAAAGUCGGUGGGGUAACCUUUUAGGAACCAGCCGCCUAAGGUGGGACAGAUGAUUAGGGUG